CGUCAGUGCGGCUUCCCACUAGGCGCGUGGUACCCGAGGCCGGGCCGGAGCCGCAGGCCAGCCGCGAUUCCUUCGGGCGAUGCUGGGGGCUUUCCGGUCGGGGCCGCAGCCGCUUCCGGAGCCGCGGGCGAGGUGCAAGCGGUCUUCUCUGUCUUCUUUAUGGCCAGUAAAAUUCUCCAGAAGAGAUUUAUGGCAGCCUCACUCCCAGUAGUUUCUGCAUUUAGUGAGAUAAGGU
rnacentral:lncRNA from 1 species